CCAUUCCAGGGAACCGCAUUGCAUUUACUUGUCAUGUCUCCCCAGCCUCCUCUGGUCUGCGACAGUCUUCCAGUCUUCCUUUGUUUUUAUGGCCUUGAUGGUGUUGAGAAAUACUGGCAAGGUAUCCUGUAGCAUAUCCACUAAUCCAGGAAAUGCCAUUAAUACCGCUGAAAUUGCCAAAUGUUUUGGAAUUCAGCAUAGACUUCUCAAAGCCAACAGUGGCUGGUGUGACUGACUCGACUGACUCACGCGUCAUGAAGAGCAUCAAGCACCCAGCGUCUUGCUGUCAAAAGUUUCCAGCUGACUUUCAAAGGAAGCCAUUUGACUUCCAGGAAUGUAUCCUUCAAGGAAGGAAAAAACAAAACAAUUAAUUUAACCGAAUCGGAAAUGCAAACCAACUCCAGCAUUCUUUGAUAUGCCUGGAAAUUACUCUGUUAGCUAAAGGUUCCAAAAAGGUCAAGAUCAAAGUGUCGAUCACGAGAAGGACAAGAGCCUAUUGUUAAAACACAGGGUAAUGAGUUACGACAACUGUUUACAUUUGGGUAACUACCACCAUAACUGAAAUACAGGACAUUUCCAUCUCUUUGCAAACUACCCUGGCGACAGAGGCGACAAUCCCCUCCCCCAGCCCACAGGAGGGCUCUACCUUUUACUGCACAAACGCCCCCCAAGAAGGCCACCCUAGCAGGUCCUGAAUGCUUAACUAUAGGGAUAGCUCUGUCUUCUAGAUGGGAGGCCCUGGGGGCAUGCUAGCUGAGGAUGGAAUGGCUGGUAGAAAUGAAAACAGCCCCAGGGACAAGGCUGGGGAGAUGGGGGACUGAGAUCUGGGGAGAAGCAUCCAUACCAGGGGGUGAACCCGAGCUUGCUGUGGAUUGGCGGGGGGAGGGGGGGUCUGGUGCAUGCAAAACCAGAAAUGGAGAUGCAGGAACUCAGCCUCCAACGUGGGUUCUUUGGCUGGGCCCUCCCCAGUCUUCAUGUGCCAGCAGUGUCCCCUGACUGCAGGGAUAUGGGCUGAGAUGCAGUCCGGGUGGCCUCACAGACGUGCUGAUUUCAGGACGUGCAUGUGCGUGCACGUGUGUGCAUGUGUAUUUGGAGACCGUGGCAGGGAGCUGUCCAUCUGGAGGCAUGCAGCUACCCCCGCAUCCACAGUCGGGUGGGGAGCUGGGGGCCCCUUCUGCCCGCGCCCGUGAGAGCCCGCUGCUGCCUCGCCAGCGAGCCCUCUGAGCAGCACGGGGUGGGGGGUGGGAGGGUGUCAGCCGUCACCCCCCGGCUGGGGCAACCGCACAUUCUUAGACGCUCUAUGUCAUGGAAAGAAAGGUGACGUGCUUCGUCUGCUCUGCUCUCCCCAAACAUUACCACUCCAGCAACAAAGGGAGGCAUGCGGUGAGAGACUUUCUCCUCUCGGAGGCCGGGGAGAGUUUUUCAGAUACUGGAGUCCAUGGUGAUAUUAAGUUUGAGGAAUUUUUCAAAUCAUCAUCCCGCAGAAGCAGCUGCUAACCACCCUCCUGCACCUGGUUCUCCGGGAGACUUAGUUCCAGGAGAGGGACACUGCAGGCACGGACAGCACGCUUUCUUUCCCUUGGCUGUUUGCUUCAAGUGCGGGGCACGUUCAAACAUCCAGCCCCAACACGUGUCCCUGUUAGAGCAGUGGGUAAAGUGGACAAGGUCUCUGUCUUCAGGAGACAGCC